rnacentral:rRNA from 1 species
CCUACGGGAGGCAGCAGUAGGGAAUCUUCCGCAAUGGACGAAAGUCUGACGGAGCAACGCCGCGUGAACGAUGAAGGCCUUCGGGUCGUAAAGUUCUGUUGUCAGGGAAGAACAAGUAUCGGAGUAACUGCCGGUACCUUGACGGUACCUGACCAGAAAGCCACGGCUAACUACGUGCCAGCAGCCGCGGUAAUACGUAGGUGGCAAGCGUUGUCCGGAAUUAUUGGGCGUAAAGCGCGCGCAGGCGGUUCCUUAAGUCUGAUGUGAAAGCCCACGGCUCAACCGUGGAGGGUCAUUGGAAACUGGGGGACUUGAGUACAGAAGAGGAAAGCGGAAUUCCACGUGUAGCGGUGAAAUGCGUAGAGAUGUGGAGGAACACCAGUGGCGAAGGCGGCUUUCUGGUCUGUAACUGACGCUGAGGCGCGAAAGCGUGGGGAGCAAACAGGAUUAGAUACCCUGGUAGUCCACACCGUAAACGAUGAGUGCUAAGUGUUAGGGGGUUUCCGCCCCUUAGUGCUGCAGCUAACGCAUUAAGCACUCCGCCUGGGGAGUACGGCCGCAAGGCUGAAACUCAAAGGAAUUGACGG